UACGUAGGGUGCGAGCGUUGUCCGGAAUUAUUAGGCGUAAAGAGCUUGUAGGCGGUUUGUCGCGUCUGCUGUGAAAAUCCGGGGCUCAACUCCGGACUUGCAGUGGGUACGGGCAGGCUAGAGUGUGGUAGGGGAGACUGGAAUUCCUGGUGUAGCGGUGGAAUGCGCAGAUAUCAGGAGGAACACCGAUGGCGAAGGCAGGUCUCUGGGCCACUACUGACGCUGAGAAGCGAAAGCAUGGGGAGCGAACAGG
rnacentral:rRNA from 1 species